GCAAUUAUACAGCGAAACUGCGAAUGGCUCAUUAUAUAAGUUAUCGUUUAUUUGAUAGUACUUUACUACUUGGAUAACCGUGGUAAUUCUAGAGCUAAUACAUGCUAAAAAUCCCGACUUCGGAAGGGAUGUAUUUAUUAGAUUAAAAACCAAUGCCCUUUGGGCUCCUUGGUGAAUCAUGAUAACUUCUCGAAUCGCAUGGCCUUGCGCCGGCGAUGGUUCAUUCAAAUUUCUUCCCUAUCAACUUUCGAUGUUUGGGUAUUGGCCAAACAUGGUCGCAACGGGUAACGGAGGGUUAGGGCUCGACCCCGGAGAAGGAGCCUGAGAAACGGCUACUACAUCCAAGGAAGGCAGCAGGCGCGCAAAUUACCCAAUCCCGACUCGGGGAGGUAGUGACAAUAAAUACUGAUACGAGGCUCUUUUGGGCCUUGUAAUUGGAAUGAGUACAAUUUAAAUCUCUUAACGAGGAACAAUUGGAGGGCAAGUCUGGUGCCAGCAGCCGCGGUAAUUCCAGCUCCAAUAGCGUAUAUUAAAGUUGUUGUGGUUAAAAAGCUCGUAGUUGAACCUUGGGCCUGGCUGGCCGGUCCGCCUCACCGCGUGUACUGGUCCGGCCGGGCCUUUCCCUCUGUGGAACCUCAUGCCCUUCACUGGGUGUGACGGGGAAGCAGGACUUUUACUGUGAAAAAAUUAGAGUGCUCCAAGCAGGCCUAUGCUCGAAUACAUUAGCAUGGAAUAAUGAAAUAGGACGUGCGGUUCUAUUUUGUUGGUUUCUAGGACCGCCGUAAUGAUUAAUAGGGACAGUCGGGGGCAUCAGUAUUCAAUUGUCAGAGGUGAAAUUCUUGGAUUUAUUGAAGACUAACUACUGCGAAAGCAUUUGCCAAGGAUGUUUUCAUUAAUCAGGAACGAAAGUUAGGGGAUCGAAGACGAUCAGAUACCGUCGUAGUCUUAACCAUAAACUAUGCCGACUAGGGAUCGGACGAUGUUAUUUUUUGACUCGUUCGGCACCUUACGAGAAAUCAAAGUGUUUGGGCUCC
rnacentral:rRNA from 1 species